GGGGAUAACGUUUGGAAACGAACGCUAAUACCGCAUGAUAUUAUUGAGCUGCAUGGCUUGAUAAUCAAAGGAGCAACCCGCUGAAAGAUGGGCUCGCGUCCGAUUAGGUAGUUGGCGGGGCAACGGCCCACCAAGCCGACGAUCGGUAGCCGGACUGAGAGGUUGAACGGCCACAUUGGGACUGAGACACGGCCCAGACUCCUACGGGAGGCAGCAGUGAGGGAUAUUGGUCAAUGGGGGAAACCCUGAACCAGCAACGCCGCGUGAGGGAAGACAGUUUUCGGAUUGUAAACCUCUGUCCUCUGUGAAGAUGAUGACGGUAGCAGAGGAGGAAGCUCCGGCUAACUACGUGCCAGCAGCCGCGGUAAUACGUAGGGAGCAAGCGUUGUCCGGAUUUACUGGGUGUAAAGGGUGCGUAGGCGGCUUUGCAAGUCAGAAGUGAAAUCCAUGGGCUUAACCCAUGAACUGCUUUUGAAACUGCAGAGCUUGAGUGGAGUAGAGGUAGGCGGAAUUCCCGGUGUAGCGGUGAAAUGCGUAGAGAUCGGGAGGAACACCAGUGGCGAAGGCGGCCUGCUGGGCUCUAACUGACGCUGAGGCACGAAAGCGUGGGUAGCAAACAGGAUUAGAUACCCUGGUAGUCCACGCUGUAAACGAUGAUUACUAGGUGUGGGUGGACUGACCCCAUCCGUGCCGGAG
rnacentral:rRNA from 1 species